GUCUACAGCCAUGCUGCCCUGAACAAGCCCGAUCCUGUCUGACCUCGGAAGCUAAGCGAGAUUGAGCCUGGUUUAGUACUUGGAUGGGAGACCACCUAGGAAGACCAAGUGCUGUAGGCA
rnacentral:rRNA from 1 species